rnacentral:tRNA from 1 species
GCCUGGUUUGCCUGACAAUGCGUGCAAUAGCAGGGGAUUGAAAAUCCCCGUGUCCUUGGUUCGAUUCCGAGUCCGGGCACCA